rnacentral:rRNA from 1 species
GAUUGAACGCUGGCGGCAGGCUUAACACAUGCAAGUCGAGCGGGGGAAGGUAGCUUGCUACUGGACCUAGCGGCGGACGGGUGAGUAAUGCUUAGGAAUCUGCCUAUUAGUGGGGGACAACAUCUCGAAAGGGAUGCUAAUACCGCAUACGUCCUACGGGAGAAAGCAGGGGAUCUUCGGACCUUGCGCUAAUAGAUGAGCCUAAGUCGGAUUAGCUAGUUGGUGGGGUAAAGGCCUACCAAGGCGACGAUCUGUAGCGGGUCUGAGAGGAUGAUCCGCCACACUGGGACUGAGACACGGCCCAGACUCCUACGGGAGGCAGCAGUGGGGAAUAUUGGACAAUGGGGGGAACCCUGAUCCAGCCAUGCCGCGUGUGUGAAGAAGGCCUUAUGGUUGUAAAGCACUUUAAGCGAGGAGGAGGCUACUUUAGUUAAUACCUAGAGAUAGUGGACGUUACUCGCAGAAUAAGCACCGGCUAACUCUGUGCCAGCAGCCGCGGUAAUACAGAGGGUGCGAGCGUUAAUCGGAUUUACUGGGCGUAAAGCGUGCGUAGGCGGCUUAUUAAGUCGGAUGUGAAAUCCCCGAGCUUAACUUGGGAAUUGCAUUCGAUACUGGUGAGCUAGAGUAUGGGAGAGGAUGGUAGAAUUCCAGGUGUAGCGGUGAAAUGCGUAGAGAUCUGGAGGAAUACCGAUGGCGAAGGCAGCCAUCUGGCCUAAUACUGACGCCCGAGGUACGAAAGCAUGGGGAGCAAACAGGGAUUAGAUACCCUGGUAGUCCAUGCCGUAAACGAUGUCUACUAGCCGUUGGGGCCUUUGAGGCUUUAGUGGCGCAGCUAACGCGAUAAGUAGACCGCCUGGGGAGUACGGUCGCAAGACUAAAACUCAAAUGAAUUGACGGGGGCCCGCACAAGCGGUGGAGCAUGUGGUUUAAUUCGAUGCAACGCGAAGAACCUUACCUGGCCUUGACAUACUAGAAACUUUCCAGAGAUGGAUUGGUGCCUUCGGGAAUCUAGAUACAGGUGCUGCAUGGCUGUCGUCAGCUCGUGUCGUGAGAUGUUGGGUUAAGUCCCGCAACGAGCGCAACCCUUUUCCUUACUUGCCAGCAUGUCGGAUGGGAACUUUAAGGAUACUGCCAGUGACAAACUGGAGGAAGGUGGGGACGACGUCAAGUCAUCAUGGCCCUGACGGCCAGGGCUACACACGUGCUACAAUGGUCGGUACAAAGGGUUGCUACACAGCGAUGUGAUGCUAAUCUCAAAAAGCCGAUCGUAGUCCGGAUUGGAGUCUGCAACUCGACUCCAUGAAGUCGGAAUCGGUAGUAAUCGCGGAUCAGAAGGCCGCGGUGAAUACGUUCCCGGGCCUUGUACACACCGCCCGUCACACCAUGGGAGUUUGUUGCACC